rnacentral:tRNA from 1 species
GGCCAGUGUGGUGUAGUGGUUUCAGUGUUGGACUAUGGCUCUGGGGACCAGGGUUCAAUUCCCAGCCCGGCCA